AUGGAAGGCAUCGCUCGCAGGAGAGACGACCUGGAGAGCUACCUGAGGAGCCUCGCCAAGAAGUUGUACAUCAAGCUUGAAGAGUUUUGCCAGAACUUUGAGGAGGAGACUGGGCGGAUCGAAACAGGUUUGGAUCCAAUCAAUUCUCCCGUGAAAGAUGAAGCUGCCAUGAAUCUGCUCCGACUGGAAUCUCGCAUUGACGGUGUCGUGGACUACAUGGCUCGACUGAAGGUUGCCAUGUCAAGGAUCGACCCGGCACUUUGGCCAGAGGCUACGCUCCAAAACGACCUCGAGUCUCUGAUGACUCAUCUUAACGGAAUCCCUGACCGAGUGCAGGAGUGGAAGAAGUCUUCUGCUCGGUGUGGCGCUGAUGUGGCUCUGUCUCUGGUCCGCGUCCAUUGUAAGGAGGCGCGAGAAGAGAAGCUGGCCGCCAUCCAAGUUGCCAAUACCAGGAAGCACAGCUUUCAAGACUUCAUGGAGACUUUCAUUGCCGCUGCCACCUGUAUUGCCGACGGGAUCGACUAG
rnacentral:rRNA from 1 species